rnacentral:rRNA from 1 species
CCCUUAGAUGUUCUGGGCCGCACGCGCGCUACACUGAUGCAUUCAACGAGCCUAUCCUUGACCGACAGGUCCGGGUAAUCUUUGAAUCUGCAUCGUGACGGGGAUAGAUUAUUGCAAUUAUUAAUCUUCAACGAGGAAUGCCUAGUAGGCGCAAGUCAUCAGCUUGCGUCGAUUACGUCCCUGCCCUUUGUACACACCGCCCGUCGCCCCUACCGAUUGGGUGUGCUGGUGAAAUGUUCGGAUCGGCCGUUUGUCGCGGUUUCCGCGUCAAGUGGCUGAGAAGUUCAUUAAACCCUCCCACCUAGAGGAAGGAGAAGUCGUAACA